rnacentral:misc_RNA from 1 species
GAGGGAAGUGAUAGGCUGCUACCACCUGUUAGGUUUAUACGACGUCGUUUCAAUGAGACAUUUGCUCCUGCCAAUUACAAACGAAAUUUGUAGAACCUUUCGUUUCCAAAAAAUGAGUGCAUUUCAUUCCCGUAUUGUUUCUGUAUUUGCCUUGCAGUUCAGUGGAUGCCCUGAGCAACCUGAUAGAUUAUGGAACUUGAGAGGCAAGCUAAAGAUUAUUACUGAUCCUUGUGCUCAGAAUGC